GGUCCAAAUUUGAAGUAUAGUAGACUAGUAAGGUCAGCUGAUACUACUAAUCCACUCUACUUCGAAUUUCGGCCC
rfam:Haemonchus contortus, ISE/inbred ISE, WGS project CAVP01000000 data, contig: Hcontortus_25925